GUGACAUCGCAGUUGUUACUGUGCGUUACGUGCUCACUGUUUUUAAUGUAGUUUACAAAUUGAGAAGCUUGAAGUGUGGUUUAACUUUCGUUUCAGCUUUCCAAACUGGCGACAAUGUUGGUAAUCAGAGGAUAUGGCAAAAAUGCUCUUAUUUUGCCGGAUGACGUGGAGAAGGCCAACCACCACGUGGGAUGCGGCGAGUUGUUCUUGUAGAGUUGGCACGGACUUGAUGAGCCAAAUUAACUACUACUGGACUGUAACCAUGCUAUUAAACUUGUAAAAAGCAUUGGCAAUACUGGUGGAAUAGUCUUUUGAAAGCUUAAUCAACAACCUGCUUCCUGUGAUGGCCAUUCUUCAGAUCUCGCCGAUGCUUUCCCAUUUCUUACUCAGCGCAUCCGUUCAGCACCAUAACUCCACUUCUCACUGUCAACUGGGAAGUGAAUGGACUCUUCAAAUGUGACUGUAUGAUUCUUGAUUGUUAACUAACAGCCCCUACUCUGAUUGUUAAUAGUUUUAUGCAAAGUAAGCAAUGGAGUUGCAAAAAAUGGAAAAUAUACACUUUUUAACACAACAAUGCAUUUUGUGCAGAAUUGUUGUCAGCAGUAGCCUGGAAAUUAAGCUACAGUUCCUGGAAACUUCAGGAUAGUUGUAGUUUGACAACCUCAUAUUUAUAAAACUUUACUCCAUUCAUCUGCUGCAAUUGGAUUGCAAUGUCUUUUUCAUUCACAAGUUAUAUCCAGAGAUACAUACAUUGUUUACAAAUGUAGUUAUCCAAAAAUAAAAUUUAAAGCAUAUUGAAACUCACUAUUCCAGGCUCAUGUUUGUUCAGAUACAGAAGAAAUAUUCAGAAAUGGAGAUGUGAGUUGUAUCAUGAAAUUUGCUGAUGUACUGAAAAAUUGAUGAACUUCAGUAUGUAGUAAUAUGUGGUUUCAUGUUGAUAUUUUUGCAGUCUAUUAAAUAAUAAAGGCAGUGAGUUUGUUGCAGCAACCUGUUUCAAAAGGUGUGAGAAAAUCCUUCUGUAUGUCAGAUCUCUAUGAAUUGUGUAAUUUACAUGUUCUGCCCAUUGGUGGCACAUUGAAGAACCCCUUCAAUAAUGAGAAGCUGACCUGAAAAUGUGUAAGACAAACUCAGAUUGACCUGAUCACACGUUGUAAGAAUAAGGAUGAAAGACAACAGUUGAGCUGCAAUAA